rnacentral:tRNA from 1 species
GCCUCAGUAGCUCAGUUGGUAACUGAACAUAUACCAAGAGCGCCACCUUGGUAAGGUGGAGGUCUCGAGUUCAAAUCUCGACUGGGGCU